rnacentral:rRNA from 1 species
GCAUAUCAAUAAGCGGAGGGAAAAAGAAACCCAACAGGGAUUUGCCCCCAGUAACGGCGAGUGAAGCGGCAAGAGCUCAAAUUUUGAAAUCUGGCCCCCUCGGGGCCCGAGUUGUAAUUUGCAGAGGAUGCUUCGGGUUCGGCCCCGGUCUAAGUCCCCUGGAACGGGGCGUCAUGGAGGGUGAGAAUCCCGUCUGGGAUCGACGGCCCGGACCCGUGUGAAGCUCCUUCGACGAGUCGAGUUGUUUGGGAAUGCAGCUCCAAAUGGGUGGUAAAUUUCAUCUAAAGCUAAAUACUGGUCGGAGACCGAUAGCGCACAAGUAGAGUGAUCGAAAGAUGAAAAGCACUUUGAAAAGAGAGUUAAACAGCAUGUGAAAUUGUUGAAAGGGAAGCGCUUGCGACCAGACUCGCCCGCGGGGGCUCAGCCGGCAUUCUUGCCGGUGCACUCCCCCGCGGUCGGGCCAGCGUCGGUUUGGGCGGUCGGUCAAAGGUCCCCGGAAUGUGUCGCCCCUCGGGGCGUCUUAUAGCCGGGGGCGCAAUGCGGCCUGCCCGGACCGAGGAACGCGCUUCGGCACGGACGCUGGCGUAAUGGUCGUAAGCGGCCCGUCUUGAAACACGGACCAAGGAGUCUAACAUCUACGCGAGUGUUCGGGUGUCAAACCCGUCCGCGCAGUGAAAGCGAACGGAGGUGGGAGCCCUUAAGGGUGCACCAUCGACCGAUCCGGAAGUCUUCGGAUGGAUUUGAGUAGGAGCGUAGCUGUUGGGACCCGAAAGAUGGUGAACUAUGCCUGAAUAGGGUGAAGCCAGAGGAAACUCUGGUGGAGGCUCGCAGCGGUUCUGACGUGCUAAAUCGAUCGUCGAAUUUGGGUAUAGGGGCGAAAACUAGUAAUCGAACCAUCUGGUCAGCCACGUUCCUUGCCGAAGUUUCCCCU